rnacentral:tRNA from 1 species
CAAAACAUAGCUUAAUAAAAAGCAUUCAGCUUACACCUGAAAGAUGUCUAUUAAAACGACUAUUUUGA